GGGGCUGUGGCUCAGUGGUAGAACAUAUGCUUGGCAAGCAGAAGGUGUUUGGUUCAAUCCGCAGCAUCUCCA
rnacentral:tRNA from 1 species